rnacentral:misc_RNA from 1 species
GAUGAAGAACGUAGCGAAAUGCGAUACGUAAUGUGAAUUGCAGAAUUCAGUGAAUCAUCGAAUCUUUGAACGCAUAUUGCGCUCUCUGGUAUUCCGGAGAGCAUGCUUGUUUGAGUAUCAGUAAACACCUCAACUUCCAUAUCUUUUUUGAAAUGGGAGUUGGACUUGAGUGAUCCCAACGCUUUUCCUCACCGAAAAGUGGCGGGUUACUUGAAAUGCAGGUGCAGCUGGACUUUUCUCUGAGCUAUAAGCAUAUCUAUUUAGUCUGCCUAAAAAACAGAUUAUUACCUUUGCUGCAGCUAACAUAAAGGAGAUUAUUUCUUGUGCUGACUGAUGCAGGAUUCACAAAGACAGGCUUCGGCCGACUUUGUAAACUCGAUCUCAAAUCAAGUAAGACUACCCGCUGAACUUAAGCAUAUCAAUAAGCGGAGGA